rnacentral:lncRNA from 1 species
GAGGCAGCAGAAUCCGAAGUUCAGGGUGAUCCACAGCUGUAUAGUGAGUUCAAAGCCAGCCGGGGAUAUGUGAAAUCAAAUCACUUCCUGGUGUGCUCCGUAAUAACCGGCAGCUGUCCUGUCAGCCCUGCUGGAAAAUGAGAUAAUAAGGCAGGCAAACGAUGGCCUUUAUGCUGGAAUCCACCACUUCCUGCAGUUUGCUUCUCAGAUGCUUUGGGGAACAAGGAUCCGGGCAAUUUUCACACCAUUUCUUCUUCCAAAAAAAAAGUUUGUCCAAAUUCUUGGUGAAUGUCAUUUCCCUUUGGGACAUUUGGUGGAAAAAGAGGCAGCCCUGCUUCACUGCACCAGGACAGAAGGCUUCCAAAAAGCCUCUCAAUGGGGUCUGUGAAGGGAAAUCCCCACUCAAAAGGAGACAGAGGUGAUCAGGACUGUCACUAGGGCCUGGAGCGAUGGGUUUGGCUCUGAGGAAGAGGGCUGCUGGGGACCAUUCUGUCAGCAGGCCUUUCUGGGAGCUGCAGGAAGAGCAACAGUGUCUUGCAACGCUAGGAAACAGGCUGUCUGGUGGUCUCCUGGCUGGGAAAUUGCAACUGUUAAAAGGGUCAUCUUACCAAGAGAGCCCAGGUCGUGGGCAGGUUGCAUGCUUUGGGGUUCCUGGAAAUCCAAAGUGGGCCUUUCUCUGACUUCUUGAAACAAAAGAGGAAGUUGAGGCUCAUACUGGAUUUCUAUUAUUAUUCUCAGAUCAGCAAAUUCAAGAUCAGCAAAUUGAGGCUCAGACAGGUUGAAUAGCUUGUCCAAAGUAAGGAGCCAGAGAAUGAAAGGAAUUACGGGGUUCAAAAGUCUGGUUUCAAAUACUCUGUACCCCUUCUAGCAAUAGAUGAUCUAUUCUGCCCAAAAUUUCUAGAUACACAUCAGCCAAUACAAAAGACAGUAGCCACCUGUAACUAUUUAAGUUGGCAUCUAAAUUAGUUAAAAUUAAGACAGACAUGGUGUCCUCCUGUGAUGCCUUAAAUUCUCCUCAAUCCUUCUGUCUGUGUCUCCCAGGUAGUGAAAUUUCAGGCUAGUCACCAUCCUAGCCUAGUAAAUUUAACUAGCCAAGUAAAUUUAACUUUUGGAACUCAGAUAAUAAAGACAAAGUAAAGUUCUAUCAGAAAAGAGAUUUCUGAUGCAGGGGAUUGAAAACAAGAAAGCCAUUCAGCAGUGCACGGAG